CCUACGGGUGGCUGCAGUGGGGAAUAUUGGACAAUGGGCGAAAGCCUGAUCCAGCCAUGCCGCGUGUGUGAAGAAGGCCUUCGGGUUGUAAAGCACUUUCAGUGGGGAAGAAAGCCUUGGGGCUAAUACCCUCGAGGAAGGACAUCACCCACAGAAGAAGCACCGGCUAACUCCGUGCCAGCAGCCGCGGUAAUACGGAGGGUGCGAGCGUUAAUCGGAAUUACUGGGCGUAAAGCGCGCGUAGGCGGUCUGAUAAGCCGGGUGUGAAAGCCCCGGGCUCAACCUGGGAACGGCAUCCGGAACUGUCAGGCUAGAGUGCAGGAGAGGAAGGUAGAAUUCCCGGUGUAGCGGUGAAAUGCGUAGAGAUCGGGAGGAAUACCAGUGGCGAAGGCGGCCUUCUGGACUGACACUGACGCUGAGGUGCGAAAGCGUGGGUAGCAAACAGGAUUAGAUACCCCAGUAGUC
rnacentral:rRNA from 1 species